CCUCGCACCGGACGAUCUUUUUUUCUCUCGCUCCCUCUCAUUUUCCCACCCCAACCUAGGGUUGCCGCCGCCGCCGCCGCCCCCAUCGCUCCUCUAGCGCUGCCCAUCGGAGGACGGCCCACUUCUCCUCUGCUUCUUCUUUCACCCUGCUCCAUCCCGACCAGCGCCACCCCCGCCCCUUUUCUCUCGUCGGCUAUUGUCGAUGAGCAUGGCGGCACCCCGCAAAAAAAAAAGAUGAGCAUGGCGGCGGCGGCGUUGAGAGCCUCAUGGGGGACAUCCAGGCAGAUGAAGGGGUGGCGGCAUGGAUCUGGUGACAGUGGUGUCGGAGCUUGAGGCCGAGAGGACUUCGACCCUAGGCCCUCGCCGUCUGCCUCCUUUUCAUCUUUUUUUGCUCGUGCUGCUCGUUAUCUACAUGGGUCGUCGACGAAGAAGUCAGGGAGGAGCGGAUGCUAUCUGGGGGGGUGGCUAGGACCAGAUCGACCAUGGCGAUGGCAUCGUUGACUCCCUGCUGGCCUUGCAGUUUUGCAAUUUAGGUAUCAAAGGAAUUAGGUAUUAUCAGCAUGAAUACUAUUUACACAGUCUGUUCUUUUAUUUAGAUUGACCGUCUUUGAAGUAAUUGACAUGUAGACUGCUGCAAAAUGAAUCAGUAAUGUUUUAAUUAACUUAAAAAACUUGCCAGGUUGGAUAUAUCUUUGUCAGAUAUUUAUAUCAUUGUUUUUCUUCUGUUCAUUUGUUGGGUAGGGCCGAGACCAGUGGGUUCAUUGCUAGGGGCUAUUGUAUUUGUCUUGCUACCGACUGUAGAUGUGAUCACUGAUUCUCAUUGACUGUAGUUGUAGUUUCAGAAGUAGGAUGGCUAGCAGUCAUCAUAUAUUGGUUAAGUUGUAUUUGUUUUGGGUACAACAAGAUGAUGAUCAAGAGAAUCCCGAUGAAAAGCAUCAUGCUGAUUCUGAUGUGGAAAUAGAUGAUGCCAAGCCUUUGGAGGAAUCUGAAAGGAGAAGCAAUACUCAAGAGUGCGAGAGUUGACAGAGAAUGUGCGAGAGUUAAGCAGUAUUGUAGUAGAUCACAUUUCAGGGAUACCAUUGAUUUAUUUUUCUCUUCUUACUUUUAUUAGAUAGGCCACAUUCUUUUUCUUUUACUCAUGCCUUUGUUGCUGAUGGUGCUGUUGUGUAAAUUCAACAUUGAUGUUUAGUGUUAUGACAUGGUUUACACAAGCUGAAAUUUUGAUCCCUUGGAGGUUGCAGGUGCUGACAAUCUAAUUCCAAUGGAACUGGCCCUUAAAAUUACAACCAAGAUUACAGUUGGUAUGAGUUACUUGCUGAGAGUCAGAAAUUACAACCAAGAUUUUGUAACACGACUUUUAAACCAAGAGAUUUUUCAUCUUAGAUGCUACCGACAUGAGCUGGUAAUGUCGUGCUACCAUGGAGAAAACAUAGCUAGGGCGCUCCCCGGCCUGGAGCUCUGCUACUCCAUGACGCGGAGGUUCCUCGACAAGCAGACGGCGGUGGUCGGGCAGGUGUAGCCCGCGGCAGCGCUGCCCAUCCUGGACUGGAAGAUCUCCGUUCCUGGUAAUACUUGUUUCCUGUACACCUGCUUUUUUAUUUUGGUAAGGUUUCAUUUUUCGGGUGGUGCCAACGGUGGAACUUUGUUCUUGUUAUUUGGUGUGCGGGCUCUCUGAUUUUGAGAUGACUAGAGGUAAACUUCAGUUCAGAGUAUUAGAUUGUUUGGUUUAAUUAAGUCAGUGGGUGAGGGGUUUCAUGUUUAGAUUUCAGUGUAGUAUAGUAGUAUCCUGAAUUCUUAUGCUGUAAUGUGAAUUCUAAAGAUAUAAGAAAUCCAUGCAGAAUAUUUUGCUGUUUGCACCAAACAAUAUGCAUCCAAGUUAUUGCAAUAAUGGGGAAUUAUGUAACCAGUAGUACGCGACAUUUUAUAUGAAUAUAUGAUUUUGAUCAUUCAUGUUCCCUCGAAUCUUGCUUAUUAACAACACUUUUCUCAGUUUGUUCCAUGUAUAUAGUGUAUUAGACUACUGUUCACUAUCUAUCAAUCCUAUCUUCAUGUACCUGUGUGUGUUUGGUACAGUACUUGAUCUCUUAUGAUUUAGGGAGCUCUUCAGAAUCUGAGAAGAAAUUGAUGUAAGAUUUAUUUUCCUAUUCUUGGAAACUCAUGCUAUGGAGAAUCAUAAUGAUAUUCUCAUUGUACAGGCGGUGCAAGGUCUAACAUGAUUGUGCUGAUGCUCUCUCCUUUGUAGAGGACCAUCCCGAUGUCUGGGUUUCGGCAUGGUGGUGAGGUGCCUGAGGUCAUGGCUCUGAGUCAGGAACCUCUUAUUGAGCGUGCCAGUACUUCAUGGUGGUGACGUAUGUCUUGAUGAUAGUCCAGUUUGAUAAAAUGCCAAUAGGAGCAGGUCUGUGAAGCCAAUAGGAGCCAGUCAGUAAACUAGUGAUGCAGUCUCACUGUUCAUCGUCUCUAGACGCACCUAUAUGAUCCAUGUAUCUAGUUUCUCUCCAAAACUUGUGAUGCCUGCGUUGUGAUGAUCCGAGGAACUCUGCCUCUAUUUUGGAGAUCGCCCAUCUUUUGGAGACCGCUGAACUUUGAUUUGAACCGCUGAAUGUGUCUUUGUGAUCAGUCAUCCACUUUGUAAGAUUGUCAACUCUCUGUUAAGCUAUCAGCAUAGAUGAAACUACUUGCUUGCUCUGCUUUAUGAA